rnacentral:rRNA from 1 species
GCCCUGGUAAUUAUUCAAAGGUGAACCCUGCCCAGGGAUUYUUAAUUAAAAAUAGGAAAAAUAUUUAAAAAGAAUUAAAAGGACGCGGUAACCUUGACUGUGAUAAUGUAGCAUAAUCACUCGCCAUUUAAUUGAUGGAUAGUAUGAAUGGUUUAACGAAUAUUACACUAUUUAAAGUAUAGAUCUCAUAAAAAUGAAAUAAUAGUUAAGAUGCUAUUUAAAAUUGUAAGACGAAAAGACCCUAUAGAGCUUAACUAUAAUCUUUUUUAACAAAUCAGAAAAAAAAUUCUUCUUAAAUUAAAAAGACUGGKAGUUUAGUUGGGGCGACUAUUUUCUAAAAAUAACGAAAAUAAGCAAUAUUAAUAAUAUAAUUUAUUGUAUAAUAAACAAAUUUAACAAUUACUACAGUAGGCUAUAAUGACCCGUUAUUAUUAAAUAAAAAAAAUAACGAUUAAUGAAUAAAAGCUACCUUAGGGAUAACAGGAUAAUUUUAUCUAAGAGUUCUCAUCGAAGAUAAAGUUUGUCACCUCUAUGUUGAAUUAAGAUAUCCAAAUAGUG